CGCAUCUGUGCAUGCAGCAUAUCAAUAAGCGGAGGAAAAGAAACUAACAAGGAUUCCCCUAGUAACGGCGAGUGAAGCGGGAAGAGCUCAAAUUUGAAAUCUUAAAGGGUUUCCCUUUACGAAUUGUAGUUUAAAGGAGUGUUUUCUGUUGAGGUUUUGGUAAAAGUUCUUUGGAAUAGGACAUCAUAGAGGGUGAGAAUCCCGUAUUUGACCUUUACUUUCAACUUUGUGAUACACUUUCAAAGAGUCGGAUUGUUUGGGAAUGCAGUCCAAAAUGGGUGGUAAAUUUCAUCUAAAGCUAAAUAUUGGCGAGAGACCGAUAGCGAACAAGUACCGUGAGGGAAAGAUGAAAAGAACUUUGAAAAGAGAGUUAAACAGUACGUGAAAUUGUCAAAAGGGAAGCGUUUGACACCAGUGUUGCUUUUCUGAAAAUCAAUUAAAGAACUGUUUAUGCUAAGUUGUUUAGACUUUAUCAGCUAACUGUUUAGUUUUGAGCUUUUCUUUAAUGCACUUCUCAGUUAACAAGUCAACAUCAAUUUCUUUUGCUGUAAAAAAGCUUGAGGAAGGUGGCUUGAGAUUCGUCUUAAGUGUUUAUAGCCUCUUGCCUAUGCAGUCGGAGAGAUUGAGGUCUGCAGCGUAGAUCCUUCGGGGCUAAAUGCAUUUGUGCUAAGUUAUAGCAUUUUAUAGACAACUUGUUGACUAUGAUUUGUCUUGUAGUUUACUCGCUUAUGUUAUUUUACCUACGCUUAGGAUGUUGACAGCAGUAUAGACUGU
rnacentral:rRNA from 1 species